AUUGAACGCUGGCGGCAUGCCUUACACAUGCAAAUCGAACGGCAGCACGGGAGCAAUCCUGGUGGCGAGUGGCGAACGGGUGAGUAAUAUAUCGGAACGUGCCCAGUCGUGGGGGAUAACGUAGCGAAAGCUACGCUAAUACCGCAUACGAUCUAUGGAUGAAAGCGGGGGAUCGCAAGACCUCGCGCGAUUGGAGCGGCCGAUAUCAGAUUAGGUAGUUGGUGAGGUAAAGGCUCACCAAGCCGACGAUCUGUAGCUGGUCUGAGAGGACGACCAGUCACACUGGGACUGAGACACGGCCCAGACUCCUACGGGAGGCAGCAGUGGGGAAUUUUGGACAAUGGGCGCAAGCCUGAUCCAGCAAUGCCGCGUGCAGGAUGAAGGCCUUCGGGUUGUAAACUGCUUUUGUACGGAACGAAACGGUGAGCUCUAAUACAGUUUGCUAAUGACGGUACCGUAAGAAUAAGCACCGGCUAACUACGUGCCAGCCGCCGCCGUAA
rnacentral:rRNA from 1 species